rnacentral:rRNA from 1 species
GGGCUCACACAAGCGGUGGAGCAUGUGGCUUAAUUCGAGGCUACGCGAAGAACCUUAUCCUGGACUUGACAUGUGCGAAAGCGCCAGCAGGUAGGACCCGGAAACGGGAACGAACGGUAUCCAAUCCGGAAGCUGGUACAGGUGCUGCAUGGCUGUCGUCAGCUCGUGUCGUGAGAUGUCGGGUUAAGUCCCAUAACGAGCGAAACCCUUACCCUUAGUUGCAACCGAUGAGGGCACUCUAGGGGGACUGCCGGUGUUAAACCGGAGGAAGGUGGGGAUGACGUCAAGUCCUCAUGGCCUUUAUGUCCAGGGCUGCACACGUGCUACAAUGGCGUGAACAAAGAGACGCGAGCCCGCGAGGGGGAGCUAAUCUCAAAAAACACGCCCCAGUUCAGAUCGAAGGCUGCAACUCGCCUUCGUGAAGUCGGAAUCGCUAGUAAUCGCGGGUCAGCAACACCGCGGUGAAUGUGUUCCUGAGCCUU